rnacentral:tRNA from 1 species
GCGGGAGUAGUUCAGUUGGAAGAACGUCUGCUUCCCAAGCAGAAGGUCGGGAGUUCGAGACUCCUCUCCCGCU